rnacentral:rRNA from 1 species
CAGCAUCCGCGGGAACACGAAGGGUGCAAGCGUUACUCGGAAUUACUGGGCGUAAAGCGUGCGUAGGUGGUGGUUUAAGUCCGUUGUGAAAGCCCUGGGCUCAACCUGGGAAUUGCAGUGGAUACUGGGUCACUAGAGUGUGGUAGAGGAUAGUGGAAUUUCCGGUGUAGCAGUGAAAUGCGUAGAGAUCGGAAGGAACAUCUGUGGCGAAGGCGACUAUCUGGGCCAACACUGACACUGAGGCACGAAAGCGUGGGGAGCAAACAGGAUUAGAUACCCGAGUAGUCCCUGUCUCUUAUAC